AUUGAACGCUGGCGGCAGGCCUAACACAUGCAAGUCGAGCGGAUGAAGGGAGCUUGCUCCUGGAUUCAGCGGCGGACGGGUGAGUAAUGCCUAGGAAUCUGCCUGGUAGUGGGGGAUAACGUCCGGAAACGGGCGCUAAUACCGCAUACGUCCUGAGGGAGAAAGUGGGGGAUCUUCGGACCUCACGCUAUCAGAUGAUCCUAGGUCGGAUUAGCUAGUUGGUGGGGUAAAGGCCUACCAAGGCGACGAUCCGUAACUGGUCUGAGAGGAUGAUCAGUCACACUGGAACUGAGACACGGUCCAGACUCCUACGGGAGGCAGCAGUGGGGAAUAUUGGACGAUGGGCGAAAGCCUGAUCCAGCCAUGCCGCGUGUGUGAAGAAGGUCUUCGGAUUGUAAAGCACUUUAAGUUGGGAGGAAGGGCAGUAAGUUAAUACCUUGCUGUUUUGACGUUACCAACAGAAUAAGCACCGGCUAACUUCGUG
rnacentral:rRNA from 1 species